GACGAACGCUGGCGGCGUGCUUAACACAUGCAAGUCGAGCGGAAAGGCCCUUUCGGGGGUACUCGAGCGGCGAACGGGUGAGUAACACGUGAGUAAUCUGCCCUUGGCUUUGGGAUAACCACCGGAAACGGUGGCUAAUACCGGAUAUGACGGGCUCCGGCAUCGGGGUUCGUGGAAAGUUUUUUCGGCCAGGGAUGUGCUCGCGGCCUAUCAGCUUGUUGGUGGGGUAAUGGCCUACCAAGGCUUCGACGGGUAGCCGGCCUGAGAGGGUGACCGGCCACACUGGGACUGAGACACGGCCCCAGACUCCUACGGGAGGCAGCAGUGGGGAAUAUUGGACAAUGGGCGGAAGCCUGAUCCAGCAACGCCGCGUGAGGG
rnacentral:rRNA from 1 species